CUUACGUGCGCAUGCGCAUAUCCAGUGCUUUCUGUCCUGAUCUGUCUGCUCGCAAUGACACGACCGUGCCUUGCAUGAGGUUCACGAAAAAGAUGAAAAGGUCAAAAGAAAACUCCAUCAGCCUGGAUAAAUUCCCUAAAUGACGCGCACGAGACUCGGUGAUGGGACCUGAGACGCGCGUGAUGGGACAAACCCUAAAAAAAGGACUCACCUGGACAUCACAUUCUGAAUAUGACCUUGUGGAUAUGACUGGAUCAAUAUUUAAUAGACUCUUACUAUAAAGUAGUUGUGUCUUCUGCUUGGAGUCAUUAAAGUAUCUCCAAAAUGAUGCUCCCACCACCAUACUUUAUCGUGAAAAUGGUAUUCUCAGGUGGUGAGCAAUAUUUUGAUGCAGAUUUAUGAUAUAAAAUCACAUUUCAGUUUGUAGUGUUGCAACCUUUGAAAAAGUUGAAUGUAAACCUAUGCAUGCUAUUUAUUGUAAGCAAUCAAACUAAUAUUGAAGACAAGCAAGGUCACCAGCAAGAGCAUUUCCUGCCUGCCAGGUAUAAGAAGAUUGAUAACCUAAUUAUCCUGCAGUCUGUAUAUACAAUUAAAUGAAUAAACAAUUUUUUUUGUUUGACAUACAGAUUCCUGACCUUGACAAGUAGGAAAACAGGACGUCUGGGUAGCGAGGCAUCUGUAAACAUCAUCUGACUGGAAGCUGGAUUGGUACAGACAGCUUUCAGUCGGAUGUUUGCAGUUGCAGGCUGCCACAUUACAACACAUCCUGGAAGCUUGAUUAAAACUGACACGCUUUACCUGAACUAAACACUGAUACAUACGUAAAUACUUGAGACCUAGUUAGCUUUUGAUGUUAUUUCUUAUAAAAGUGCUGUGUAACCACUUAAUUUCAUUCUCAGAAAUAAAUGAAUAUAUAUACACACGUUUUUCCAGCAGUUUCCUUUUGUGUCAAGACUUUCCAUGUGCAGGUAUCCAUAAAAAGUGGAAUUUCAUUGAUUUGGAAGCAGGAUCAAGUCAGGCUGGUUAUUAGACUGUGUGACAACUAUUUAAGACACAGUUAAAGAACUUCUUGCACUCUUACCACUAGAGGUCAGCAACAUAAGACAUACAGUGCACUAAAUAUGAGCUCAACACUCAAAGACCGCAAAGCUGUCUCACUGUGUGUCCUUCUUAUUUAAAUAUACAUAAGCAAACGUGUUUCAUUAACCUUUAACCUCCAAUCCUUAUGUGAAAUAUGCUGUUUUACCCCUUUCUUUCAAAAAUGGGUUACAUUGUGGAUACAUUACAACACAGAGAUACAUUAUGAUGAUUAGUGACAUUUUUAACUAUUUUAUUUGCAAGAUUAAACACACACACACACACACAAAAAAACAAAACAAAAAAAAAAAACAGGAAGAAGUGCAUAGGACUGUACAUAUGUCUCAUGAUGGGUCGUUUGAUUAAGCCUGAUGAGUAGGAAAAAAAAUUAACAAAAGAUUUCCAGCCGGAUUUUAUUGCAGUCCUCUGGGUGUCUGAUCGCAAUUCCGUAACGAAGAAG